rnacentral:ribozyme from 13 species
UCUGCUCACAACAUUUUGGAAAAUAAACAGUCACACAUCGAAAAACGCAUAUGAAAAAAUAAAACAAGCAAAAGAAAUAA